GGUGUUUGGAGUGAAGGCUGUUCCAAGAUCAACACCAGAUAGUUCCAUAAGUUUGCAUUUUCUUGAUUAAUGGAAUUAAUGGUCUCGGACCAGGCUUCAUUCCUCACGCU
rnacentral:miRNA from 1 species